UUUUUCCAAAGACUUAUUAUCCUCCUGGUAGGACUACUUCUGUAGUCUUCAUCAAGCACUAUGAAUCUGCCUUUGAAAUUCCUGCCUAACCUGAGGGUCCUUUGGUGCCAUACCCACUGGGAAACGGGCACUGAAGCGAAAGUCCAAGGCUGAGCGGUUGAGAAUGGAGGUGCUGGCUACAGUUGUAAGGAAGACUUAUCACUGAAAAGGACAUAGUUGCAUGAGAUGAACUGAGACCAGACUGAAUUGACUCACAAGCGAGUCACCGCAGAGUAAGGAGCACAAUAGGACUGUCUGAGAAAGGCCUGGAUUGGAAUACUAAAAACAUGUUGAACACAUACCCCAUGUGCCUCCACAUCCAGAAAACAGGAGACUGCAUGUAGUGGGGGCUGGGGGUUGGAGGUCUCCCAUAUCUGUACUCAUAGCUGAGAAGUAGGACUUUCGAGGUAAGAAGUAUUGCAGCUUUUACAGAUCAGAGUGAAAUUUCGGCCCCAUGAAGUCAGUGCUAACAGCGUGCUAACUUCAAGAAGCACCAAAUUCAAGCAGUUGUUGUAUCUUCCUUCAUCUGUCUCCUCGUGUCACCAUGUCUACAGUACAAUCUGCAGCAACAGACCACAGUCCAUCAGAAGGAGUUACAUUCAUAAGAGGCACCAAGAGGUAAACAGUAUGUGUCUCAUCCCUUGACAGAAAUCUUCAGAUUUGCUUAACUUCAUGCAUCUGAGAAUUUCCAGUUUAUCUACAAAAUAUUUGAGAAUGACUCCAGGCUGGUAUGUGGUGGGGGCUGAAGUUUAUAAUAUUAAUCUUAAUCUCCUAGCUUGUGUUCCUUCUUUUAUGUACCUGCUAUUUCAUUACAAGCUCACUUCUGUAAAGAAUGCUUCACAUGUAGACCAGGUGUAGUGAAAUGGGGCCUUGACUGUCAACCAUGGCAUCGAUUUUCUCCUCAGUAAUGAGAGUAAAAACAGAUAUCAGUGAAUGGAUUUUUUUCCCUCACCAUAAGGCCUGUGUGCCUCUUAACAAAACAUCUGUGAACUGGAUUGUUGAUGUGUAGACUAAAUGUGUUGAUUAAAUUUCCAAGAUUUUC
rnacentral:lncRNA from 1 species